rnacentral:tRNA from 1 species
GCGAAAGUGGCGGAAUCGGUAGACGCAAUGGCCUCAAAAGCCAUUGAUUUUUGGAUCGUGUGGGUUCGAGUCCCACCUCUCGUA